rnacentral:rRNA from 1 species
CAGCCGUGCUGGCGCGAAAUCAGCUCGACCACUCGGGGAUCACGGGCCGUAGCGAGCCUCAAAACCGCUACGACUCGUGAUUUCUUAGUGGCCUGGUGCACUUUCGUGUCGGCUGGUUAACAUCAAUUUCGAUCGUCAUAAAAAGGCUGGAGGGAUGUGGCUCCUUCGGGAGUGUUAUAACCUUUAGCGGAAUGUGGUGGUCGGGAUUGAGGCUUGCAACGAAUACCUUCAGGGCUGUUCCACCUGGCCUCUCAUCGGAAUCCUGGCGGCGACAGCUUGCUGACGUUGUUAGGAUCGGCCUUCGAACAGGCUAGAGUGUGAGCAAA